UUCCCACCAGUGCGUGUACAGCCCAAGGCGGCCGCUGUAGCGACAUAUGCACUGCAAAUGACAAUCCAUUCUACAAUCUCUGCAACACUCCAAACUGCUCUUGCUGCGUUCCAAAGCCCUCGUGCAGUCUUCCCACCAGUGCGUGUACAGCCAAGGGCGGCCGCUGUAGCAUCACAUGCGGCAUAAAUGAGAAUGCAUUCUACAACCUCUGCAACACUCCAGACUGCGUCUGCUGCGUUAUAAGGCCAUCGUGCAGCCUUCCCACCAGUGCGUGUACAGCCAAGGGCGGCCGCUGUAGCGACUCAUGCGGCGUAAAUGAGAUUCCUUCUUACAAUCUC